rnacentral:tRNA from 1 species
UCCCUAGUGGCUCAGAUGGUAAAGAAUCUGCCUGCAGUGCAGGAGACUUGGGUUCAAUUCCUGGGUUGGGAA